ensembl:snRNA U4 U4 spliceosomal RNA
AGCUUUGCGCAGUGGCAGUAUCGUAGUCUAUGAGGUCUAUCCGAGGCGCGAUUAUGGCUAGUUGAAAACUUUACCCAAUACCCCGCCUUGACGACUUGAAAUAUAGUCGGCAACGGCAAUUUUUGACAGUCUCUAAGGAGA